UGUUGUCUGAACUCUGAAGUUGUAUUUUUUUUAUCAAACAAAAAACUUCUUCAUUCAAUUUUCAUAAUCAACCGAGCAAAUUCAUCUCUCUCUCAAAAAACUUCCUAUUCCGAUUGAAACCUAAUCCCAUCCUCUCCAAUGGCCACCAUCGAUAUCGCAAAACCCACCGACGCCACUCCCUGUAGACCCCUUGCCGCCGCGGCUAAACUAGAUCUACUGCUAUCCAAAAGAAGAUGCUCGAAUCGGAAAUCAGGGCAAAGCAAAUACGCUUAGCAAGAAUGGGAUUGGCCAAUCUCUCAGUCUCAGGUUAGAACACAUUCUACCUAUAACUUUGUGGUGUUAUUCUUUUUCUCUUUUCCAGUUUUUCUUUUGCUUCGAUGAGAGAAGUGGGGCUUGGCUUUUUCCUACAUUUGCCUAUUAUAAUAAAAUGAAACUCUUCUAUGUUUUAAAUAUCAGUUCUUGCAAUGCAAAGUUUUGCUGGUGUUUCCAUUCUGAUAAGUUAUUCUAAGAAUGCUGGUAACCUUACUGUGUAGAACACAUUCAGCAAUUGGAACCUAUUAUUCGAGCAAAGAAGAUGAGUAAAAGAAUAUUAGUAAUUCACAUUCAAAGAAACACCAUUUUCUUACUUCAAAUUGCUGACAGCUCUCUUGAGUUGAUAAAUUAUAUUGGUAUGGAACAGGGUCACCAUGACUUGUGACUCUAAACAAGCUUUCAU
rnacentral:lncRNA from 1 species